rnacentral:lncRNA from 1 species
CAGAACUUUCUUCACAUUCCAACAGGUUAUCAAAAACAAUACCCAUAACUUAUUUAAACCUUUUAAAACAAAACAUUCAAACCUUCCAGAAUAAAUAUCGUUCAAAAAAAACAAACGUACCUUUAAAAAGAAAAAGAAUAAGAGGGAGAGAGAGAGAGAGUUAUCCUUCUUCUUAGAAAGAAAAAGAAGAUGAAAGAGAGUCAGCGAUCCUCUCCUUAUGCAUUUUCUUUGUAAAGAGAGAAGGGAAGAAAAAAAGAGAAAACUACAACAUUUUCUUUUAGAGAUAAAGCCUCUAGAAAGAAAAGAAAUCUUUG